GUCUGGAUAGCUCAGUUGGUUAGAGCGCUCGGCCUGUCGUAUUUACGAUGGUGUACGUGCUGAGAGGUCGCGGGUUCAACUCCCGAGCCAGACG
rnacentral:tRNA from 2 species